UACGUAGGGUGCGAGCGUUGUCCGGAAUUAUUGGGCGUAAAGAGCUCGUAGGCGGUCUGUCGCGUCGAUCGUGAAAACUUGGGGCUUAACCCUGAGCUUGCGGUCGAUACGGGCAUGACUGGAGUUCGGCAGGGGAGACUGGAAUUCCUGGUGUAGCGGUGAAAUGCGCAGAUAUCAGGAGGAACACCGGUGGCGAAGGCGGGUCUCUGGGCCGAUACUGACGCUGAGGAGCGAAAGCCAGGGGAGCGAACGGG
rnacentral:rRNA from 1 species